GAAAUGCGAUAAGUAGUGUGAAUUGCAGAAUCAGUGAGUCAUCGAAUCUUUGAACGCACAUUGCGCCUCUCGGUAUUCCGGGAGGCACGCCUGUUCGAGCGCCAUUACAAACUCCAAGCGUGGCUUGAUGUUGGGCGAUGUCUUUUUGCGAGAGCGGAGACACGCCUGGAACGCGUUGGCGCCUCCGCCGGACCACGAGCGUAGCAAGACGAGAGUCAAUCGCAUCGAUUUGGAUUCCGACGGAGGUCCGCCAUGGGACUGCACUUUCGAGUGUAAGUUCACAACUUCUCUCAAGUUUGGCCUCGGAUCAGGCGGGGAUACCCGCUGAACUUAAGC
rnacentral:misc_RNA from 1 species